AACGAACGCUGGCGGCAUGCCUAACACAUGCAAGUCGAACGAGACCUUCGGGUCUAGUGGCGCACGGGUGCGUAACGCGUGGGAACCUGCCCUUAGGUUCGGAAUACCUCCCCGAAAGGGGUGCUCAUACCGGUUAAUGUCUUCGGACCAAAGAUUUAUCGCUUUUGGAUGGGCCCGGGUUGGUUUAGCCUGUUGGUAGGGUAAAGGCCUACCAAGGCGACGAUCGGUAGCUGGUCUGGGAGGAUGAUCAGCCACAGUGGGACUGAGAUAGGGCCCAGACCCCGACGCGAAGGGGGGGAGGGGGGGGGUAAAAUUGGGAAGGGGGCCAAAGCCAGAACCGGCACGUCCGGGUGGGUGGCGAUGGCUUUGGGUUUGGAAAGCGCUUUUGCCGGAGAGUAAAUGACGGUAACGGGUAAAAAAGCCCCGGCUAACUCCGUG
rnacentral:rRNA from 1 species